GAAUUGACGGGGGCCCGCACAAGCGGUGGAGCAUGUGGUUUAAUUCGAUGCAACGCGAAGAACCUUACCUGGUCUUGACAUCCACGGAAGUUUUCAGAGAUGAGAAUGUGCCUUCGGGAACCGUGAGACAGGUGCUGCAUGGCUGUCGUCAGCUCGUGUUGUGAAAUGUUGGGUUAAGUCCCGCAACGAGCGCAACCCUUAUCCUUUGUUGCCAGCGGUCCGGCCGGGAACUCAAAGGAGACUGCCAGUGAUAAACUGGAGGAAGGUGGGGAUGACGUCAAGUCAUCAUGGCCCUUACGACCAGGGCUACACACGUGCUACAAUGGCGCAUACAAAGAGAAGCGACCUCGCGAGAGCAAGCGGACCUCAUAAAGUGCGUCGUAGUCCGGAUUGGAGUCUGCAACUCGACUCCAUGAAGUCGGAAUCGCUAGUAAUCGUGGAUCAGAAUGCCACGGUGAA
rnacentral:rRNA from 1 species